rnacentral:rRNA from 1 species
GACGAACGCUGGCGGCGUGCUUAACACAUGCAAGUCGAACGGAAAGGCCCUGCUUUUGUGGGGUGCUCGAGUGGCGAACGGGUGAGUAACACGUGAGUAACCUGCCCUUGACUUUGGGAUAACUUCAGGGAACUGGGGCUAAUACCGGAUAGGAGCUCCUGCUGCAUGGUGGGGUUGGAAAGUUUCGGCGGUUGGGGAUGGACUCGCGGCUUAUCAGCUUGUUGGUGGGGUAGUGGCUUACCAAGGCUUUGACGGGUAGCCGGCCUGAGAGGGUGACCGGCCACAUUGGGACUGAGAUACGGCCCAGACUCCUACGGGAGGCAGCAGUGGGGAAUAUUGCACAAUGGGCGGAAGCCUGAUGCAGCAACGCCGCGUGCGGGAUGACGGCCUUCGGGUUGUAAACCGCUUUCGCCUGUGACGAAGCGUGAGUGACGGUAAUGGGUAAAGAAGCACCGGCUAACUACGUG